rnacentral:rRNA from 1 species
UAGAGUUUGAUCAUNGCUCAGAUUGAACGCUGGCGGCAUGCCUUACACAUGCAAGUCGAACGGCAGCACGGGAGCAAUCCUGGUGGCGAGUGGCGAACGGGUGAGUAAUACAUCGGAACGUGCCCUGUAGUGGGGGAUAACUAGUCGAAAGACUAGCUAAUACCGCAUACGACCUGAGGGUGAAAGUGGGGGACCGCAAGGCCUCAUGCUAUAGGAGCGGCCGAUGUCUGAUUAGCUAGUUGGUGGGGUAAAGGCCUACCAAGGCGACGAUCAGUAGCUGGUCUGAGAGGACGAUCAGCCACACUGGGACUGAGACACGGCCCAGACUCCUACGGGAGGCAGCAGUGGGGAAUUUUGGACAAUGGGGGCAACCCUGAUCCAGCAAUGCCGCGUGUGUGAAGAAGGCCUUCGGGUUGUAAAGCACUUUUGUCCGGGAAGAAAUCGCACCUGAUAAUACCGGGUGUGGAUGACGGUACCGGAAGAAUAAGGACCGGCUAACUACGUGCCAGCAGCCGCGGUAAUACGUAGGGUCCAAGCGUUAAUCGGAAUUACUGGGCGUAAAGCGUGCGCAGGCGGUUGUGCAAGACCGAUGUGAAAUCCCCGGGCUUAACCUGGGAAUUGCAUUGGUGACUGCACGGCUAGAGUGUGUCAGAGGGGGGUAGAAUUCCACGUGUAGCAGUGAAAUGCGUAGAGAUGUGGAGGAAUACCGAUGGCGAAGGCAGCCCCCUGGGAUAACACUGACGCUCAUGCACGAAAGCGUGGGGAGCAAACAGGAUUAGAUACCCUGGUAGUCCACGCCCUAAACGAUGUCAACUAGUUGUUGGGGAUUCAUUUCCUUAGUAACGUAGCUAACGCGUGAAGUUGACCGCCUGGGGAGUACGGUCGCAAGAUUAAAACUCAAAGGAAUUGACGG